rnacentral:rRNA from 1 species
UACGUAGGGGGCUAGCGUUGUCCGGAAUCAUUGGGCGUAAAGCGCGUGUAGGCGGCCCGGUAAGUCCGCUGUGAAAGUCGGGGGCUCAACCCUCGGAUGCCGGUGGAUACUGUCGGGCUUGAGUACGGAAGAGGCGAGUGGAAUUCCUGGUGUAGCGGUGAAAUGCGCAGAUAUCAGGAGGAACACCGAUUGCGAAGGCAGCGUCGCUGGGACGUUACUGACGCUGAGACGCGAAAGCGUGGGGAGCAAACAGG